UACGUAGGGGGCUAGCGUUGUCCGGAAUCAUUGGGCGUAAAGAGCGUGUAGGCGGUCCGGUAAGUCCGCUGUGAAAGUCGGGGGGCUCAACCCUCGAAUGCCGGUGGAUACUGUCGGGCUAGAGUGCGGAAGAGGAGUGUGGAAUUCCUGGUGUAGCGGUGAAAUGCGCAGAUAUCAGGAGGAACACCAAUGGCGAAGGCAGCACUCUGGGGACGUGACUGACGCUGAGACGCGAAAGCGUGGGGGAGCAAACAGG
rnacentral:rRNA from 1 species